UACGGAGGAUGCGAGCGUUAUCCGGAUUUAUUGGGUUUAAAGGGUGCGUAGGCGGAAUAUCAAGUCAGCGGUAAAAAUUCGGGGCUCAACCCCGGCCUGCCGUCGGAACUGGGUGCCUUGAGUGGGCGAGAAGUAUGCGGAAUGCGUGGUGUAGCGGUGAAAUGCAUAGAUAUCACGCAGAACCCCGAUUGCGAAGGCAGCAUACCGGCGCCCUACUGACGCUGAGGCACGAAAGUGCGGGUAUCGAACAGG
rnacentral:rRNA from 1 species